GUAGGGUGCGAGCGUUGUCCGGAAUUAUUGGGCGUAAAGGGCUCGUAGGCGGUUUGUCGCGUCGGGAGUGAAAACCUUGGGCUUAACUCAGGGCUUGCUUUCGAUACGGGCAGACUAGAGGUAUGCAGGGGAGAACGGAAUUCCUGGUGUAGCGGUGAAAUGCGCAGAUAUCAGGAGGAACACCGGUGGCGAAGGCGGUUCUCUGGGCAUGAUCUGACGCUGAGGAGCGAAAGUGUGGGGAGCGAACAGGAUUAGAUACCCUGGUAGUCCACACCGUAAACGUUGGGCGCUAGGUGUGGGAUCCAUUCCACGGGUUCCGUGCCGCAGCUAACGCAUUAAGCGCCCCGCCUGGGGAGUACGGCCGCAAGGCUA
rnacentral:rRNA from 1 species